rnacentral:lncRNA from 1 species
CCUUUAAGGAGCUUGAUGAUCAUGCCGAUCCACCAUUAAAGCCUUGCGGAGCUUAAUUUAGUGCUUGCAAAUCUUUUAUAGCCUCCAGAGAGAUGAUGCUAAAAGGAAGGAGUCAAAAAGCAUCAGAGUGCUUGCUUUCAAUUCAUAAACAAAGAUACCCAUAUUUGCUUCUAUUUCUAUUUAUUUGGUCUUCCGUCAUGUGCUGUCUAUCAUCGUUAUUAUAACAAUGUCACAGUUUCUUUUUUUUCUUCUACCUUUUCUUUUUAUAGUGCACUCAUGUACAGUUUCACUAGAAUUAUAUUGUUAGAAUGUCAUCUAAGAUUUUUGAUGUCCCUUGUCUUUUGCUUUAUCAUUUAUCAUUUUCUCAAACAAGAAUUCCCAUUAUUCCUUCAAUUGUGUUUCGGGAAUGAAUGGAUUCCAUAGAUUGUUUGAUCUUUUGCUGUUAUUGGUGUAUUGUUUCAUAAACAGCAUAACACUCAAUUUUCUUUCAUAUUUAUUUAUUAUAUAACAUCCAGAUUAUAUUGUAUCACCUUCAAACCAUGUUGCAUUAUUAGUUGUUUUCAUUUUUCAGAAAUGAAUAUUUAAAAUUUCUUCAUUUUUAUAAAAAUAUCAUGUGUUAGU